rnacentral:lncRNA from 1 species
CUUAUCGAUUAUCGAUUUGUUCAUAUGCUUAUCGUUAUCGUUUCAAUAAGGUUUCGAUUUUUUCGAUUUUGACUUUUUCGAUUUCGAUAACAAAUAGUCGAUUCGAUUUAUCGAUAAACCGAUUCGAAUGCACACCCCUAAUCAUCACUUGUUACCUUAGAUAUCAUACAAGCAUCAUUACCUGCUAUAUUGAUGUGGUUUUCCUCAUUUCCUUGACCUUCUCUAACAUCUUUUCUUAGCAAGCUGAGAAUCUGCUUGUAGUGUUCUUCAGUAAAAUAUCGAGCCUUGACUCCAGCUGGCCCUAAGUUUCUGUAAUGCAUCAGUGGUGGUGGCAUAUCAAUAUUCCUGUCACAUUGUUGACAUCAUUAAAAGGUUAUUAACCAUAUCCCGUCUGUCCACCAUAGAUAGCUUGAGUUCCAGAUCCUCUAAGAAACAUGCCUUAAAUUCCUUUUAGACUUAAAAUCAUGAGGGUAUCCAACUAAUUUGCUAUGACCUUCCAUAUUACAGUAUUCACACUACAAAAAAGGUCUAUUGCCUUUAUAAGGAUGUCCACAAGAUAGCUGCAUAGCUAAGGGAUAUGUGUUUGCAGUGACUGCAUUUAAACCAACUGAGUGUUGAGUUUCAUCUUCAAUUAUUAUAGCAUAUGCUUGGUUGAUUGUAGGACAAGUUGAUUUUAAUAAAAUCUAUCUCCUAGCUUGGUCAUACGAGUCAUUCAAUCCACUUAGAAACGGUAAUAACCUUCUGCUGAUGAAAGUGCUCAACUGAUUCCUUAGAUUUUGCACGCUCACAACCAGGAAGGGGAACCAUGGCAUCAUAUUCAGCCCAGAGGUCCUUCAAUUUAGUGAAAUACACUGAAACAAAGUUUAUACCUUGUGAGUGAUUUGCAAUAUGACAGUGCAUAUAGAAGAUCCUCAUGCGAUUGACCUUGUCAAAUCGCUCCUUGAGGUCCUUCCACACGAUGUGGGAAUCUGAGGCAUACACAAUUCCACUAAGUUGAUCUUCAGAAACUGUAUUGAUAAUCCACGAAAGGACUGUUGCAUUGUAUGUUUCCCACUGCUCAAGAAACUCAUUCUCAAACAAUUCCUUCUUACAAGUACCUAACACAAACCCUAGCUUCCUCUUAGCUUGGAGAGCAAUUCUUAACAAUCUGCUCUACAAGUUGUAAUUUCUGAUCCGGCGAGCUUGACAAGAACAAAUAUUGAACCAAAGAGUGUCAGUCGAACUCAUGAACAGAGGAUGUAUGUAGGUGAGUUUUUCCGCCGCCAUAGCUGAAAACCGAGCUCGGAGAUGAAGAGAUUUACAGAGUGUCGUGGGUAAUUGGCUCGAAAAAUGCGUGAAUUACCACAAUCAGUUGUUUUGAUACCAUGCUAAAAGACCAUGAGAGCCGAAA